rnacentral:rRNA from 1 species
UUAGAGUUUGAUCCUGGCUCAGGCAUGAACGCUAGCGGCAGGCUUAACACAUGCAAGUCGAGGGGCAGCAUAAGACUGUGCUUGCACAGUUUGGUGGCGACCGGCGCACGGGUGCGUAACGCGUAUGCAACCUACCUGUAACAGGGGGAUAACACUGAGAAAUUGGUACUAAUACCCCGUAACAUCAUUGAGGGCAUCCUUUUUGGUUGAAAGUUCCGGCGGUUACAGAUGGGCAUGCGUUGUAUUAGCUAGUAGGUGAGGUAACGGCUCACCUAGGCGACGAUACAUAGGGGGACUGAGAGGUUAACCCCCCACAUUGGUACUGAGACACGGACCAAACUCCUACGGGAGGCAGCAGUGAGGAAUAUUGGUCAAUGGGCGCAAGCCUGAACCAGCCAUGCCGCGUGCAGGAAGACGGCUCUAUGAGUUGUAAACUGCUUUUGUAUAAGGGUAAAAUUGGGUACGUGUACCCAACUGAAAGUACUAUACGAAUAAGGGUCGGCUAACUCCGUACCAGCAGCCGCGGUAAUACGGAGGACCCAAGCGUUAUCCGGAUUUAUUGGGUUUAAAGGGUGCGUAGGCGGUUUGGUAAGUUAGAGGUGAAAUUUUUAGGCUCAACCUAGACAUUGCCUCUGAUACUGCCGAGCUAGAGAGUAGUUGCUGUGGGCGGAAUGUAUGGUGUAGCGGUGAAAUGCAUAGAGAUCAUACAGAACACCGAUUGCGAAGGCAGCUCACAAAACUAUAUCUGACGUUGAGGCACGAAAGCGUGGGUAGCAAACAGGAUUAGAUACCCUGGUAGUCCACGCAGUAAACGAUGAUAGCUCGUUGUCGGCGAUACACAGUCGGUGACUUAGAGAAAUUGAUAAGCUAUCCACCUGGGGAGUACGUUCGCAAGAAUGAAACUCAAAGGAAAUGACGGGGGCCCGCACAAGCGGAGGAACAUGUGGUUUAAUUCGAUGAUACGCGAGGAACCUUACCCGGGCUUGAAAGUUAUUGACGAAUCUGGAAACGGAUUUUCCCUUCGGGGCAAGAAACUAGGUGCUGCAUGGUUGUCGUCAGCUCGUGCCGUGAGGUGUCGGGUUAAGUCCCAUAACGAGCGCAACCCCUGCUGAUAGUUGCCAUCAGGUAAAGCUGGGCACUCUAUCGGGACUGCCUCUGUAAGGAGGAGGAGGGUGGGGAUGACGUCAAAUCAGCACGGCCCUUACGUCCGGGGCGACACACGUGUUACAAUGGUAGGUACAGAGGGCAGCCACCCAGUGAUGGGGAGCAAAUCUCGAAAGCCUAUCUCAGUUCGGAUUGGAGGCUGAAACUCGCCUCCAUGAAGUUGGAUUCGCUAGUAAUCGCGCAUCAGCCAUGGCGCGGUGAAUACGUUCCCGCGGCCCUUGUACACACCGCCCGUC